GUUUUUAUAGUUUAAAAAAAAUUUUGAUCUUGUAAAUCAAAGAUAACGAAAGUUUAAAAACA
rnacentral:tRNA from 1 species